rnacentral:tRNA from 1 species
GCGCUGGUAGUACAGUGGUUAGUAUGUCUCGUUGCCAACGAGAUGACCCGGGUUCGAGUCCCGGCCUGCGCA